rnacentral:rRNA from 1 species
AGUCGAACGGUAGCAGGAAGUGCUUGCACUUUGCUGACGAGUGGCGGACGGGUGAGUAAUACUUAGGAACAUGCCUUUGUGUGGGGGAUAACCAUUGGAAACGAUGGCUAAUACCGCAUAAUGUCUUUGGACCAAAGAGGGCUUUCGGGCUCUCGCGCAAAGAGUGGCCUAAGUGAGAUUAGCUUGUUGGUGAGGUAAAGGCUCACCAAGGCGACGAUCUCUAGCUGUUCUGAGAGGAAGAUCAGCCACACUGGGACUGAGACACGGCCCAGACUCCUACGGGAGGCAGCAGUGGGGAAUAUUGCACAAUGGGGGCAACCCUGAUGCAGCCAUGCCGCGUGUGUGAAGAAGGCCUUCGGGUUGUAAAGCACUUUCAGUUGUGAGGAAAGGUUGAUGGUUAAUACCCAUCAGCUGUGACGUUAGCAACAGAAGAAGCACCGGCUAACUCCGUGCCAGCAGCCGCGGUAAUACGGAGGGUGCGAGCGUUAAUCGGAAUUACUGGGCGUAAAGCGCACGCAGGCGGUUAUAUAAGCUAGAUGUGAAAGCCCCGGGCUCAACCUGGGAAUAGCAUUUAGAACUGUAUGACUAGAGUCUUGGAGAGGGGAGUGGAAUUCCAGGUGUAGCG